GACGAACGCUGGCGGCGUGCCUAAUACAUGCAAGUAGAACGCAGUUGCGAACGGGUGAGUAACGCGUAGGUAACGGCCGCAUAGCGGGGGAUAACUAUUGGAAACGUUAGCUAAUACGGCAUACUUUGAGAUAGACCUAUGUUGUGUUAGCUAGUUGGUGGGGUAAAGGCUCACCAAGGCGUCGCUACAUAGCCGACCUGCGAGGGUGACCGGCCACACUGGGACUGAGACACGGCCCAGACUCCUACGGGAGGCAGCAGUAGGGAAUCUUCGGCAAUGGACGAAAGUCUGACCGAGCAACGCCGCGUGAGUGAAGAAGGUUUUCGGAUCGUAAAACUCUGUUGUUGGAGAAGCGGUAUCUAACCAGAAAGCCACGGCUAACUACGUGCCAGCCGCCGCGGUAAUUC
rnacentral:rRNA from 1 species